rnacentral:rRNA from 2 species
CGCGCUGUAAACGAUGAGUGCUAGACGGUGGAGGUAUUGACCCCUUCGCUGCCGAAGCUAACGCGUUAAGCACUCCGCCUGGGGAGUACGGUCGCAAGACUAAAACUCAAAGGAAUUGACGGGGGCCCGCACAAGCGGUGGAGCAUGUGGUUUAAUUCGACGCAACGCGCAAAACCUUACCUGGGUUAAAUCCGCCGGAACCUGUCUGAAAGGAUGGGGUGCCCUUCGGGGAAUCGGUGAGAAGGUGC